UACAAAAGGAGUUGGGCUACUGAGAAUCAUGUAAUCGUGCCAGAGCUGGGGCAGAAUUUAAGGUCUCAGAAGCCAUUGCCGAACCACUGCCAUUCAGAGAAGAAGAAUAUUUUGGGAGCAUUUAGAGGAACCCUCUUGUUUUAGAGAUGAAAAGAAAACUCAAACCCCAAAGACCAAAUGACUUGCUCCAAACUUCACAAGUGGUUGAGAGUAAGAUCUUGGGGUGAAAAGACAGAUACAGAUAAAAUCACCCAAAGGAAUGGUGGAGAGCCUUUUGCUAGGACUCAAGUAAUUUAGAAUCACAGAAUUACAGGAUUUUAGAGCUACUAGAAAUGGCAGACUUUGCCCCAGGGCCAGCCUAAAGCAAGAUAACAGACAUGAGAGUCAAAUGUUCUUGGGGUUCUAGUCACAGUUUUGCCCUGGUGUUUCUUACAUAUCUUUUGGCAAGUUCCCUAGCCUUCAGUUUCCCGCCUGUACAAUGGAGAUAAUCAUCUGAGCUCUGUCUGCUUCCUCCAGCUAUUUCGAAAGCUUUGGAAAGAAUUACACCUAGGCUGCCUCCCAGGAACGCACCACCCUACUCUGCCCUCGUGGCCUCUCCCCAGCUUGUCAGAAUGCUGCCUUCCUUCACGUCCUUGGCUCCCAGCCCUCAAAGGCAUGGGAUAUCUGGGCCCCAACUGACUGAUGGCCAGCAGAUUCCAGUAUGAAGGGUGAUGGUGGAGAAGGUUCAUUCUUGGUUGGCUGGCCUGCAUUGCCCAUCAGCCUAGAUUCAAGCCAUGCAAAGAAGGACUCUGAGCUCAGCGUUCAACUGAAGCUUUCUGAAUUGAGCAGAGUGACCUUGCUGAAAAGCAGAAGAGUUCAUAUCAAGGGCCCAUGUUUGAACUGAAUAUAAUGAUUUUUUUUUCACCUUGGAAGAGUCUCAGAGGCAAGACUUGAAUGUUAAUCUAAAAAGAGUGCAAAUUUCUUCAACAACCAUUCCCAUGGAGGAAGGUGAGCUCAGACUCACUUUCAUCUGUCUGUCUCCCCCAUGUGCUUAGCCAUGGUAAGGGAGUCUCCUCAGGAAUGUCUCCCAGUCUCCCAGACAGCUGACUCUCCCUGUGUAAAUAAUUCUAACACUCAGUGAUUCAUUAUUCAUCUGAGCCACCUAUUGAACUACAGGCUUUAGGAUUAGCUUUGUACAACCCACACCCAGCAUAGGGUCUGGCAUAUAUAUGUGUUCAUAAAUGUAACAAAUAAACAUUUAUUUAAAUGUAUUGAUUUGUUCA
rnacentral:lncRNA from 13 species